CGGCAGGCCUAACACAUGCAAGUCGAACGGUAACAGGAAGCAGCUUGCUGCUUCGCUGACGAGUGGCGGACGGGUGAGUAAUGUCUGGGAAACUGCCUGAUGGAGGGGGAUAACUACUGGAAACGGUGGCUAAUACCGCAUAACGUCGCAAGACCAAAGAGGGGGACCUUCGGGCCUCUUGCCAUCAGAUGUGCCCAGAUGGGAUUAGCUAGUUGGUGAGGUAACGGCUCACCAAGGCGACGAUCCCUAGCUGGUCUGAGAGGAUGACCAGCCACACUGGAACUGAGACACGGUCCAGACUCCUACGGGAGGCAGCAGUGGGGAAUAUUGCACAAUGGGCGCAAGCCUGAUGCAGCCAUGCCGCGUGUAUGAAGAAGGCCUUCGGGUUGUAAAGUACUUUCAGCGGGGAGGAAGGUGUUGUGGUUAAUAACCGCAGCAAUUGACGUUACCCGCAGAAGAAGCACCGGCUAACUCCGUGCCAGCAGCCGCGGUAAUACGGAGGGUGCAAGCGUUAAUCGGAAUUACUGGGCGUAAAGCGCACGCAGGCGGUCUGUCAAGUCGGAUGUGAAAUCCCCGGGCUCAACCUGGGAACUGCAUUCGAAACUGGCAGGCUUGAGUCUUGUAGAGGGGGGUAGAAUUCCAGGUGUAGCGGUGAAAUGCGUAGAGAUCUGGAGGAAUACCGGUGGCGAAGGCGGCCCCCUGGACAAAGACUGACGCUCAGGUGCGAAAGCGUGGGGAGCAAACAGGAUUAGAUACCCUGGUAGUCCACGCCGUAAACGAUGUCUACUUGGAGGUUGUGCCCUUGAGGCGUGGCUUCCGGAGCUAACGCGUUAAGUAGACCGCCUGGGGAGUACGGCCGCAAGGUUAAAACUCAAAUGAAUUGACGGGGGCCCGCACAAGCGGUGGAGCAUGUGGUUUAAUUCGAUGCAACGCGAAGAACCUUACCUGGUCUUGACAUCCACAGAACUUUCCAGAGAUGGAUUGGUGCCUUCGGGAACUGUGAGACAGGUGCUGCAUGGCUGUCGUCAGCUCGUGUUGUGAAAUGUUGGGUUAAGUCCCGCAACGAGCGCAAC
rnacentral:rRNA from 1 species